rnacentral:rRNA from 1 species
UUAAGUUAUUAAGGGCGCACGGUGGAUGCCUUGGCACUAGAAGCCGAUGAAGGACGUUACUAACGACGAUAUGCUUUGGGGAGCUGUAAGUAAGCUUUGAUCCAGAGAUUUCCGAAUGGGGAAACCCAGCAUGAGUUAUGUCAUGUUAUCGAUAUGUGAAUACAUAGCAUAUCAGAAGGCACACCCGGAGAACUGAAACAUCUUAGUACCCGGAGGAAGAGAAAGAAAAUUCGAUUCCCUUAGUAGCGGCGAGCGAAACGGGAAGAGCCCAAACCAACAAGCUUGCUUGUUGGGGUUGUAGGACACUCUAUACGGAGUUACAAAGGACGACAUUAGACGAAUCAUCUGGAAAGAUGAAUCAAAGAAGGUAAUAAUCCUGUAGUCGAAAAUGUUGUCUCUCUUGAGUGGAUCCUGAGUACGACGGAGCACGUGAAAUUCCGUCGGAAUCUGGGAGGACCAUCUCCUAAGGCUAAAUACUCUCUAGUGACCGAUAGUGAACCAGUACCGUGAGGGAAAGGUGAAAAGCACCCCGGAAGGGGAGUGAAAUAGAACCUGAAACCGUGUGCUUACAAGUAGUCAGAGCCCGUUAAUGGGUGAUGGCGUGCCUUUUGUAGAAUGAACCGGCGAGUUACGAUUUGAUGCAAGGUUAAGCAGUAAAUGUGGAGCCGUAGCGAAAGCGAGUCUGAAUAGGGCGUUUAGUAUUUGGUCGUAGACCCGAAACCAGGUGAUCUACCCUUGGUCAGGUUGAAGUUCAGGUAACACUGAAUGGAGGACCGAACCGACUUACGUUGAAAAGUGAGCGGAUGAACUGAGGGUAGCGGAGAAAUUCCAAUCGAACCUGGAGAUAGCUGGUUCUCUCCGAAAUAGCUUUAGGGCUAGCCUCAAGUGAUGAUUAUUGGAGGUAGAGCACUGUUUGGACGAGGGGCCCCUCUCGGGUUACCGAAUUCAGACAAACUCCGAAUGCCAAUUAAUUUAACUUGGGAGUCAGAACAUGGGUGAUAAGGUCCGUGUUCGAAAGGGAAACAGCCCAGACCACCAGCUAAGGUCCCAAAAUAUAUGUUAAGUGGAAAAGGAUGUGGCGUUGCCCAGACAACUAGGAUGUUGGCUUAGAAGCAGCCAUCAUUUAAAGAGUGCGUAAUAGCUCACUAGUCGAGUGACACUGCGCCGAAAAUGUACCGGGGCUAAACAUAUUACCGAAGCUGUGGAUUGUCCUUUGGACAAUGGUAGGAGAGCGUUCUAAGGGCGUUGAAGCAUGAUCGUAAGGACAUGUGGAGCGCUUAGAAGUGAGAAUGCCGGUGUGAGUAGCGAAAGACGGGUGAGAAUCCCGUCCACCGAUUGACUAAGGUUUCCAGAGGAAGGCUCGUCCGCUCUGGGUUAGUCGGGUCCUAAGCUGAGGCCGACAGGCGUAGGCGAUGGAUAACAGGUUGAUAUUCCUGUACCACCUAUAAUCGUUUUAAUCGAUGGGGGGACGCAGUAGGAUAGGCGAAGCGUGCGAUUGGAUUGCACGUCUAAGCAGUAAGGCUGAGUAUUAGGCAAAUCCGGUACUCGUUAAGGCUGAGCUGUGAUGGGGAGAAGACAUUGAGUCUUCGAGUCGUUGAUUUCACACUGCCGAGAAAAGCCUCUAGAUAGAAAAUAGGUGCCCGUACCGCAAACCGACACAGGUAGUCAAGAUGAGAAUUCUAAGGUGAGCGAGCGAACUCUCGUUAAGGAACUCGGCAAAAUGACCCCGUAACUUCGGGAGAAGGGGUGCUCUUUAGGGUUAACGCCCAGAAGAGCCGCAGUGAAUAGGCCCAAGCGACUGUUUAUCAAAAACACAGGUCUCUGCUAAACCGUAAGGUGAUGUAUAGGGGCUGACGCCUGCCCGGUGCUGGAAGGUUAAGAGGAGUGGUUAGCUUCUGCGAAGCUACGAAUCGAAGCCCCAGUAAACGGCGGCCGUAACUAUAACGGUCCUAAGGUAGCGAAAUUCCUUGUCGGGUAAGUUCCGACCCGCACGAAAGGCGUAACGAUUUGGGCACUGUCUCAACGAGAGACUCGGUGAAAUCAUAGUACCUGUGAAGAUGCAGGUUACCCGCGACAGGACGGAAAGACCCCGUGGAGCUUUACUGUAGCCUGAUAUUGAAAUUCGGCACAGCUUGUACAGGAUAGGUAGGAGCCUUUGAAACGUGAGCGCUAGCUUACGUGGAGGCGCUGGUGGGAUACUACCCUAGCUGUGUUGGCUUUCUAACCCGCACCACUUAUCGUGGUGGGAGACAGUGUCAAGCGGGCAGUUUGACUGGGGCGGUCGCCUCCUAAAAGGUAACGGAGGCGCUCAAAGGUUCCCUCAGAAUGGUUGGAAAUCAUUCAUAGAGUGUAAAGGCAUAAGGGAGCUUGACUGCGAGACCUACAAGUCGAGCAGGGUCGAAAGACGGACUUAGUGAUCCGGUGGUUCCGCAUGGAAGGGCCAUCGCUCAACGGAUAAAAGCUACCCCGGGGAUAACAGGCUUAUCUCCCCCAAGAGUUCACAUCGACGGGGAGGUUUGGCACCUCGAUGUCGGCUCAUCGCAUCCUGGGGCUGUAGUCGGUCCCAAGGGUUGGGCUGUUCGCCCAUUAAAGCGGUACGCGAGCUGGGUUCAGAACGUCGUGAGACAGUUCGGUCCCUAUCCGUCGUGGGCGUAGGAAAUUUGAGAGGAGCUGUCCUUAGUACGAGAGGACCGGGAUGGACAUACCUCUGGUGUACCAGUUGUCGUGCCAACGGCAUAGCUGGGUAGCUAUGUGUGGACGGGAUAAGUGCUGAAAGCAUCUAAGCAUGAAGUCCCCCUCAAGAUGAGAUUUCCCAACUUCGGUUAUAAGAUCCCUCAAAGAUGAUGAGGUUAAUAGGUUCGAGGUGGAAGCAUGGUGACAUGUGGAGCUGACGAAUACUAAUCGAUCGAAGACUUAAUCAA